rnacentral:lncRNA from 1 species
AUACUAGAAUACUUCCCUCUUCUUGGCAGGUAGUUGAUGAGCCAGAGGUACAGAAUGUGACAUGAAGCCUCAGAUACUGAUAGUAUGUUGAAUUAUUUUACUGACUUAUGAAUUUGGCUUACCAGACUGGGCUGGGGAAAGGAUAGUGAAUAACAAUAGAUUUAUAGAGAGAGGGG